AUUGUACUGUACCCAUGUGAUGAAGUAAAAGGAAACAAAACCUAGUAGUAGUAUCUUCAAAAGUUAAAGAAAAACCUGUUGUAACUUGUAUAACUUACAUAAGUCUUUGCAAGAAGAUGUUUGAAAAUCUAAAAAGAACAAAAAAAAGGGUGAGAACUAUUUUUGAAGGGACUGAUGAUCAUUGGAAACAAAAAAAUGUUUUCCAUCUCUUUUUUUUUCUUAAACCUGUUGUAACUUGUAUAACUUACAUAAGUCUUUGCAAGAAGAUGUUUGAAAAUCUAAAAAGAACAAAAAAAAGGGUGAGAACUAUUUUUGAAGGGACUGAUGAUCAUUGGAAACAAAAAAAUGUUUUCCAUCUCUUUUUUUUUCUUCCAUACAUAUAAAAACACAUUUUAUGUGUAUAAAUGUUACUCCUCUGCCCUUCUUUCUCCACUGUCUUCAUUCUUCAUGGGCUUUAUCAACCUCUCCCUCAGUAGUCUUGGAUUCAUCGAAAGCCAUCAACUGCAUAUGAAAAAAAGAGACAAUAACCAUUUCACUAACUUGCAAUUGUAUAUGCAUUACCGUUUACAAUCAACCCAAAACUACCAUAAACAUGUUAAAUGCAAAUGCUGGAGUUUGCGUUUGAAACAACUGAAACCUAAAAGGAAGAGAAAACAAACCGGUUUAAUGUCACCGUUCCAAAUGCAAUGAGAAGCCAAGAACCCAAUGACGGCGGGGACAAUGUACAACAGAGCAGGCUGAAACAAAGGCAAAACACAAACCAAAACCCAUCAGAUCAUAUCCCACAAAAAAAAAGGUUUAAAAGAAUAGAUCAUAACAAAUUAAGAGACACAAACAAACUGACCUGGGCAGCUUGAAACCAGUUCAUGACAACAAUGGUGAGGACAACUCCAGCAACGUAUCCCACAAAUGCACUUGUGAAGUACUGUGGUUUACUACGUCUUGACACAUCAAACCUUAGAGCCAGUGCAACAAAAAUACCUAAAGGAAAAUAAAAACUAAUGUCUCAUAUACAUUCACAUAAUAUCUAAUGUUCAAGAACAUUCAGAUAAGCAUUAUGCAUUCGUACCAGGGAUGACGAUAUCACCAAGCCCAAGCAUAGAGUAGGGUCUUAGAGCAUCGCCCGUAGGGAACAAAAGCUGAUAACAUAUUUCAACAAUGAGAUUAAUUACUAAGAAGAAAUCGAAUUGUUUUUGUUUUAUGUACUUUUAGGGGCUUCUUUCACUAACCUUGAUCGGAGCAUCAAAGGAUUUGGCAACACUAACCAUAACUGGAGUAAAGAAAACCCAGAAAAUGUCAUAGAAAAACAGUCCUACCUGCAAGUCAGAUAUGAAACAAAAACACCAAAUGUUUGAGACAUAUUCAAAAUCUUGUCUUAUGUUCGUCUAAACAUUUCAAAAGAUUUUCAAGAACACAUAAAGCAUAAGAUGGAGCUCAGAUAAAUCCUUCUUACCAAAAGGAUGGCACCAGUCUUGAAUGAUCCAAGAGAGAGCAUCUCAAUUCCCUGUAUUGGCCACAUCGUUAGUUAGGAAACAGACACACACAACAACGCUACUACAUUCCGAUGAUGUGCUCUUCUUAUAUUAUAUUCCUCGUAAUGGAAAGGAAGUAAACCUGAAUGCAGAAGGAAAGGCCAAGGAUAUUGUUAGCCAGCCAGUGUUUCUUCCAAGCAUACCAAGCGCAGAAGAAGGUUCCAGGGAUUCCCGCAAUGACUUGGGACUUUGUGAACUCUACCUCCAAAGCUAUUUCAAGAAGACAAAAAACACAAGUCGUUACAUUUACCAAACCACAUCCAAAUACAAGGAGAGAAAAGGCUAGCAAAGAAAGCGAACUUCAGAACCAUACAUUUGAAGUAGGGAAAACGCCAGACGAUAAGAUUGUCAUUCCAAGCUUUUGGAAGAAACCUGCUGAUGGCAGGUAACAAUGUCGCCCUGCAAACGAACAUAAUUGUGUAUAAGGAAAAGGAAAAGUCACGACUUUGAUUAUCAAAUCUUUAUUAUUCAUAAUCAUUAAUUACCAUAUAUAUGUAAAUAAUAUUAGGUAAUUUAGUAGCAUUUAUUCAGGGAAAGAAUACACACAUCUUAUAUUUUAGGUUAAUAUAAUGUUCUCUAGUGGACAUUAAACAAAUUAUGACAUAAAAACCUUAUUUUUCCCCUCGAACACAUUCUUGAAAAAGUGAACAGUAUUGUUUUCAUAUUUGAAUUAAUUUGACUUUUAUCUUACAUAUGGUUUUGAAAACUUUCAAAUCAACCAGCAAACUGAUACAUGUCAUUUCAAUGUUUUUAGUGGUAUACUUAAGAAAAACUUACUUUUUUGUAAUUUAAAGUCGUUUUAAAAAAUUCAAAAUAUAACAUAUAAGAAAAAUAUAACAUAUAAGAAAAAUAUAACAUAUAAGGUGUCCUCAUUUUUGUAUUUUAAAGUCGUUUUAAAGAAAUAUAUAACAUAUAAGGUUUCUUCAUUUUUGUAAUUUAAAAUCAUUUAAAAAAAUUCAAAAUAUAACAUAUAAGAAAACAUCUAAUUUUUUAAUUAUAUGGUUAAUGUGAUUGUUUAUUUUUUUAAAAAAUAUAAAAUUAAACAAAAAUGAAGAAGGAUGCAAAAAUUGUUAUCAAAUCUUUAUUAUUCAAAAUCAUCAAUUGUCAUAUAUAUGUAAAUCAUAUUAGGUAAUUCGGUAACUUUUAUUUAAGGAAAGAAUACACACUUCUUAUAUUUUAGGUUAAUAUAAUGUUCUCUACUGAACAUUAAACAAAUUAUGACAUAAAAACCUUAUUUUUUUCAUCGAACACAUUUUUGAAAAAAGUUAACAGUAUUGUUUCCACAGUUAAAUUAUUUUGAAUUUUAUCUUGCAUAUGGUUUUGAAAGCUUUCAAAUCAACCAUCGAAUUGAUACAUGUCAUUUUAAUGUUUUUAGUCGUUUAUUUAAGGUAAACUUACAUUUUUGUAAUUUAAAGUCUUUUUAAAAAAAUUUAAAAUAUAACAUAUAAGAAAAUUCUAACAUAUAAGAAAAAUAUAACAUAUAAGGUGUCCUCAUUUUUGUAUUUUAAAGUCAUUUAAAAUAUAUAUAUAUAUAACAUAUAAGGUUUCCUCAUUUUUGUAAUUUAAAGUCAUUUUAAAAAAUUAAAAAUAUAACAUAUAAGAAAAAAUCUAAUUUUUUUAUUAUAUGGUUAAUGUGAUUGUUUAAUUUUUUUUAAUAAUAUAACUUUAAACAAAAAUGAAGAAUGAUGCAAAAAUUGUUAUCAAAUCUUCAUUAUUCAUAAUAAUUAAUUGCCAUUAUUCAUAAUAAUUAAUUGCCAUAUAUAUGUAAAUCAUAUUAGGUAAUUCCGUAGCUUUUAUUUAAGGAAAGAAUACACACUUUCUAUAUUUUAGGUUAAUAUAAUGUUCUCUAGUGUUAUAUAAUUAUAAAAUAAUGUGACACUAUUAGAUUAAACUAUACUUUAUAUUAGAUGCUCUAGAAUUCUUUGAAAUAGAAUUUAGAAGGCAUUUAGAGUGCCACCUAGGAUUUGGGGUUUUUUUUAAUUAAUACAAAAUUAAGGUUCUAAUUUUUCAAAUGCUUCUCAAUUAAUAUAUAGGGGAUUGUAAGCAUUGUUUGUUGCUUAUGAGUUAAUGAGCACAUCAACUUAUCCAAUGGAUCAGGCAAUGUCAGAAAUUUCAAGUAGUUGUCUAGCUGUUUGGUGGUGAUGUCGCUCGUCCCACUGUGUUUUUUUUUCUUCUUAUAACCUAGAAAUUUUGGGCCUUUUGCCCAUAGUUUUGUAGGCUUAGAACCAGUAUUAUGAUAAAUCUUUAUAUGUAUUGUCGUCAAUAGCAAUACGAUUACAAAAAAAAGGACUUUUGAUGGAUGCACAUUGAUUUGGCUAAACAGCAUCAAGAAUGAGCUAAUUCAUUCUCCUCGCUAAUAUCUUUGAUAACCAUGUUACGACUUAUAGCACAAUCAUGCUUUCAACGAACAAGAUUAUGUAUGUUGCAUUCACUAGUGGCAUGAAACCAUAGAAAAAGAAGAAGAUUGUACUGUACCCAUGUGAUGAAGUAAAAGGAAACAAAACCUAGUAGUAGUAUCUUCAAAAGUUAAAGAAAAACCUGUUGUAACUUGUAUAACUUACAUAAGUCUUUGCAAGAAGAUGUUUGAAAAUCUAAAAAGAACAAAAAAAAGGGUGAGAACUAUUUUUGAAGGGACUGAUGAUCAUUGGAAACAAAAAAAUGUUUUCCAUCUCUUUUUUUUUCUUCCAUACAUAUAAAAACACAUUUUAUG
rnacentral:lncRNA from 1 species